rnacentral:rRNA from 1 species
UACGUAGGGGGCAAGCGUUGUCCGGAAUCAUUGGGCGUAAAGAGCGUGUAGGCGGCCAGAUAAGUCCGCUGUGAAAACUCGAGGCUCAACUUCGAGCUGUCGGCGGAAACUAUCUGGCUAGAGUACGGAAGAGGAGAGUGGAAUUCCUGGUGUAGCGGUGAAAUGCGCAGAUAUCAGGAAGAACACCCGUGGCGAAGGCGGCUCUCUGGGACGGUACUGACGCUGAGACGCGAAAGCGUGGGGAGCGAACAGG